rnacentral:rRNA from 1 species
UACGGAGGAUGCGAGCGUUAUCCGGAUUUAUUGGGUUUAAAGGGUGCGUAGGCGGCUUUUUAAGUCAGCGGUGAAAUUUUGCAGCUUAACUGUAACUGUGCCGUUGAUACUGGGGAGCUAGGAUUUGGUUGCUGUGGGUGGAAUGUGUGGUAUAGCGGUGAAAUGCUUAGAGAUCACACAGAAUAUCGAUUGCGAAGGCAGCUCACAAAGCCAAGAUUGACGCUGAGGCACGAAAGUGUGGGGAUCAAACAGGAUUAGA